GACGAACGCUGGCGGCGUGCUUAACACAUGCAAGUCGAACGGAAAGGCCCUGCUUUUGUGGGGUGCUCGUGUGGCGAACGGGUGAGUAACACGUGAGUAACCUGCCCUUGACUUUGGGAUAACUUCAGGAAACUGGGGCUAAUACCGGAUAGUAGCUCCUGCUGCAUGGUGGGGGUUGGAAAGUUUCGGCGGUUGGGGAUGGACUCGCGGCUUAUCAGCUUGUUGGUGGGGUAGUGGCUUACCAAGGCUUUGACGGGUAGCCGGCCUGAGAGGGUGACCGGCCACAUUGGGACUGAGAUACGGCCCAGACUCCUACGGGAGGCAGCAGUGGGGAAUAUUGCACAAUGGGCGGAAGCCUGAUGCAGCAACGCCGCGUGCGGGAUGACGGCCUUCGGGUUGUAAACCGCUUUCGCCUGUGACGAAGCGUGAGUGACGGUAAUGGGUAAAGAAGCACCGGCUAACUACGUG
rnacentral:rRNA from 1 species